GAAGCCAUAAAAAAUACCAAGAUGUGUUUAUUGAGAGCUGCAAUGAAAUUUAGCAAUAAUAAACUGGUAUUUAUUAUUAGCAACAAACAGAAUACAAAGUACAGCAGCGCUCAUCGUUUAAAAGUAUUUAUUAUUGAAUUGUCAAACGCAAAUAACAUUUGCAGUCUGGUUGACUGGUAUAAUCAAAGGAAAAUAAGAAGAAACAGUUGUCAAGAGAAAGUCGUUAAGAAUGAGGAAAUCAAACUCGGUUUUAUUAAAUAUGUCACACUGAUCUCGCUGUUUUUCACCGCAAGUGUGAUGUUUAUUAUUUGUAAAUAAAUAAUUAAUUAUCGAGCUGUAUAAAAUGCUUAACAGUUAUAAUUCGAACUUGGCUAAGUAGUUGGAUUAUUAUUACGAAGAUAGUAAAUUUAUUUUGUGAAGAACCGGAAGUAUAGAGGACAGAACUGAUAGACACACCAGUUAAUUUCGAUGAUUUAAAUUAAGUGAGAAGAAUUUAUUUAUGAAAUUAUAAGUUCUCUACGUAUACCGGAUUAUUCCUUUAAUUAAUUAUUAGAAGUUUUUAUACGCCUAUAGACAGUUAAGUGAUAAAAAUAAUUCUGGCUGUAAUUAGAGUUUUUUACAUCGUAUUGAAUGCUUAUAAUAUUUCAAUGUUAUUACACACUGUAAAUUAUAAUAAGUACAGUACGGUGCUAAUGACUGAUCUCAUCAAAAUAGAAUAAGAUAGACUAUGUAUAAAAAUAAAUUUUUUCAUGCUAAAAUUAAUCUUCAA